UACGGGGGGGGCAAGCGUUGUUCGGAAUUACUGGGCGUAAAGGGCUCGUGGGCGGCCAACUAAGUCAGACGUGAAAUCCCUCGGCUUAACCGGGGAACUGCGUCUGAUACUGGAUGGCUUGAGUUUGGGAGAGGGAUGCGGAAUUCCAGGUGUAGCGGUGAAAUGCGCAGAUAUCGGGAAGAACACCAAUGGCGAAAGCAGCUUUCUGGGACGGUACUGACGCUGAGACGCGAAAGCGUGGGGAGCGAACAGG
rnacentral:rRNA from 1 species